AUUGAACGCUGGCGGCAGGCCUAACACAUGCAAGUCGAACGAGUGGCGGACGGGUGAGUAAUGUCUGUGAAACUGCCCGAUGUAGGGGGAUAACUACUGGACACGGUAGCUCAUACCGCCUACCAUCGGAUGUGCCCAGAUGGGAUUAGCUAGUCGGUGGGGUAACGGCUCCCCUAGGCGACGAUCCCUAGCUGGUCUGAGAGGAUGACCAGCCACACGGGAACGGAGACACGGUCCAGACUCCAACGGGAGGCAGCAGUGGGGAAUAUUGCACAAUGGGAGCAAGCCUGAUGCAGCCAUGCCGCGUGUAUGAAGAAGGCCUUCGGGUUGUAAAGUACUGUCAGCGAGGAGGCGUUACUCGCAGAAGAAGCACCGGCUAACUCCGUGCCAGCAGCCGCGGUAAUUC
rnacentral:rRNA from 1 species